rnacentral:rRNA from 1 species
AUGCAUUACUGCUUGCCCCUCUUUGGGUCCUCGAAGAACCUCCUUCGAGCCCUACCUCGAGCGGGUGGCUCCAUUCUCGGGUCUGACCUCGACCGGGUGGUCAAGCCCAAUGUCACCUUCCUGCACGAGUGCGGGCUAGCUGCUUGUGAUAUUACCAGGCUCUACAUAUGUAUGCCAUUGCUGCUCAGCAUCAGCACCGAACGCAUCCGGACAGCAGUGGCGUGUAUCAAAGGUCUUCUUGGUGUGCCCCGAGGAUCUCCGAUGUUCAGACAUGCAUUACAAGCUGUUGCAUUCCUCAGCGAAGAAAAAAUCACUGCCAAAGUGGAGCUCUUGAAGAAAACAUUCACGUGGACGGAUGCUGAGGUGGGCAUUGUUGUUUCUAAGUGUCCACAAGUGUUGUCCAGGAAUAAAGAAUCGCUGGAGCGCAGGUCCGAGUUCCUUAUUUCCGAGUUGGGAUUGGAACCAGCAUACAUUGCUUAUCGUCCAGCAUUGCUCACUUAUAGUCUAGAGGGCCGGCUUAGGCCCCGGUGCUACAUUGUAAAGUUUCUUAAGGAAAAUGGGUUGCUAGAUCAUGACCGGGACUACUAUAAUACACUCAGUAUCAGCGAGAAGGUAUUCAUGGAGAAGUUCAUAUUCCCUCACAAGGAAGCUGCACCCCAUCUCACUCAAGACUAUGCAAAUGCUUGCAGGGGGGAAGUGUCCGCCAGGUUCAGUUUUACUUGA